rnacentral:sRNA from 1 species
AUGGAGUUGCUGGAACCCACUGCUCGGCUCUGGCGAUGUGUGUCACUUGCCUGAUUUUCUUUUUGGUGUGGAAGAAAAUUCACACAAGGGAAGGCUUCUCCCAGCCCAACUCCCCUUCCUAUGAUUGGGAAUGGCUGCAACGAAACCCCAAGGAUGCCCUUGCAUCUCUCUCCAAGUUGGCCAAAGAGUAUGGCUCUGUUUACACCCUGUACUUCGGAUCCUGGCCCACCAUGGUGUUCCAUGGAUAUGAAGCAGUGAAGGAAGCUCUGAUUGAUCAGGGUGAUAAAUCCCUUGGCAGAGGACAUAUUCCAAUUAUUGACGAUGCCCAGAAAAGAUAUGGGCUGUUUUUCAGUAAUGGAGAGAAGUGGAAACAAACAUAACGCUUCUCCCUUAUGAUCCUGAGCAACUUUGGGAUGGGAAGAAAAACAUUGAGGAGAGGGUGCAGGAGGGAGCCCAAGGCCUGGUGGAGGAGCUCAGAAAAGCAGAGGCUCAGCCUUUUGACUCCACGUUCAUCCUUGCCUCUGCUCCCUGCAAUUUACCUGCUCCUUCCUCUUCAAGGAGUGUUUCCGGUACAAGAAUGGGUUUGUUAAAUGAAAAUUUUAAGGCCAACUACAAAGUUCAUGAAGAAAUUGAUCAUGUGAUUGGAUGCAAUCAAAGCCGCUCCGUGAAGGACAAGACGAAGCUGGGCCAUCCUGCAUGAGAUACAAUGAUAAAUCACUCUCCUCCCUUCUACUCUGCCCAGUGCUGUGGCCCAGGGCCUAUUCAGACAGUGCACCAUCCCUAAGACUACUGUGUUGCCAUUAUUGUCUCUGGUCUUGUUCAGUUACAAACAGUUUCCCAAAAUGUCUUGGGUCAAACUUAGGACACUUUCUGGAUAAAAAUGGCUGCUUCAACAAAACAGAUUACUUUGUGCCAUUUUCCCUUGGUUCCUUCCUUCCAGGAAAGCAAGCCUGUGUUGGAGAGAGCCUGGCCCACAUAGAGCUGUUCCUA